rnacentral:lncRNA from 1 species
AUGGACAAGUCGCCAUUCAACAGCCCCUCGCCGCAGGACUCGCCGCGCCUGCCCAGAUUCACGCAGCACCACUGGCCCCUGAUCGCCACGCACAACGGUGAGCGCGGGGCGGGGCGGGGGCCAGGGGCAGAGCGCGCACACACAGGCGGGGAUCCCGGGCCAGGGGCUUGGAGAGAGCGCACACACAGGCGCGGGGCGCUGGGCCCAAGCCCCACGCUGACCGCCCCGCCGCAUAGGCAUCGUCCGGAGUCCGCACCCGUCCUCCGCCCUGCACUUCCCCACCACAUCCAUUCUGCAGCAGAGGGCGUCCACCUACUUCCCGCACACAGCCGUCUGCUACCCGCCUUAUCUCAACCCUCAGGACCCGCUCAAAGAUCUCAUGUCACUGGCCUGCGACCCGGCCAGCCGGCAGCCUGGUCUGCCUACUCUGCAACCAACACAUUCCCUGCAAACCGUUCCUUUGGGAUUAGGACCAAGGGAUCCUGUGGGCAGCUUUUAGGUACAGGUAGGGGCCGAGAGGCCGCCGGAGGGGGGCUGGGAGCCAGGCAGAGGGGCUGGCCUGGCCUGGGGGCACACGGAGAGGAGAGGGGAGCCUGCCCGCCUCUGCUGCCAGCCACAGCCCGGGCUCCGGGGUCCUCCAGCGAGCCUGGGCUGCCUUCUCCUGGGCUCCCCCUCCUGCCUCCUGCCCAACAUCUGUCCAGAUGGGGAGAGGCCCAGAGAGGCCGGGGACCUGCCCAGGGUCACACAGCCAUCGACUGGAACUUGCCUCACCCCCACCCUGUGCCCCAGACCCAAGGCCUGGGGGGAGACCCUGCUCCGGGGAGGGGCUCAGAGCAGGGAGGUGAGUGACCCCGGGGCCCACGUGUCCCCCAACCUGCCCACCUUCGGGGACCCUGGGCCUGAGACAAUAGGAGGGGCCCCAGAGCCCCAGCCCCUCACCGUGAUAUUGGGGAGGGAGUCUCAGAUGCACAGAAAAGCCAGCCCAGAAGCUCCAGGUCAUGUGGGGGAGGUCCCCAAGGCCGUGGCUGGACCCUGCUGCACCCCUCUGGGCCUCGGGCACAGGGUGGGGGCCAGCAGCUCCCACACCCAGGUCACUGGGAGCUGGGGCGGCACUGACCGGGCCCAGACCCCCUCCAGUGGGGGCUUUGAGCUCCUAAUUGAUUCAGAAACCAAAGCUAAUAGGGCUCAGGCCUGGCCCUAACUCUUUCCCCCGCCACAUGCCUGAGAGCAGAGGGAAACCACGCCAAGCAAGGCCCCAGCGAGGAUGGGGUGGGGGGCCAGGGUGCAGGGAGAGGUGGGGAGGGGCCUCCCUGCAGGGCUCACAGGGAGGGGCGUCCACAGUGGGUCAGGGCGCUGGGACAGGUUGUGACUGUUGGGAGGGGGGUGUGAGGGCAGGUGCCGCCCGCUCCCUGCAGCCAGGGAGGGGGCAGGAAGCCAGAGCCCCGCUCUGGGCCCCAUCAGGGCUGAUUCCAGCUCUGUCCGCACUUCCUCCCCCAUUGGUGUUAUUCCUGGCAGUGUGCCACUCAGCCCCCAGCCCGCCUCCAAGCCUCCUCCUCUGUAGCCCCUCCCCCAAUCAAUACCCAUUGAUCUCCACCCCCACCCCCAGCACUUGCCUAGCCCUCUGAGCUGGGCUCACCUGGGCACCCCAGCCCCCAGCUGCCCGCCGGCCCCGGGAUCACCCCAAGGAAGGCCAGGGUCACAUGCCAAAAGCCACGUGGGCAGCCGCGGCCAGGCCCCAGGAGGCAGAGGCUGUCCACUGGAGAGGGUCAUGCCCAGAGCCUGGCUGGUUGCCAACGGAAACCAGACAUGAGGUAGUUGCCAAGAUUAAUUUGAACACGGCUGGAGGUGG